GGCCUCCCAAAGUGCUGGGAUUACAAGUGUGAGCCACUGCACCUGGCAAUUUUUCUUUUAAAAUAAAACAAUCUUUGCUCCUUAUCCACUCCUGCUGCUUCACUUGACUAGCCUAAA
ensembl:misc_RNA Y_RNA Y RNA